rnacentral:lncRNA from 1 species
UCUGAAGCCCACCUGUGAGCUGGUCCAGGAAAUGAUGGACUCUGAUUUCCACACCCCUUUCCUGUGAACUUGUCUCCAAUUUAGUCUGUCAAGGUCCCUUUCUUGUGAGUUAAUUUCUCCCUAGUGCUACUUCUCAGAUUGGCCAGUGACUCACAGAGUGGCACAAGUACAAAUCCAGCCUGCCUUGCAUCCAACACAGAUUCCAGGACCACUGAAACCAGCUGAGGCAUCCUGAAAGCCUAAGAUUGACCACACCAGAGGAACCAGACUGCCCUUCACAAGGAAACCUGGCGUGGAAACACAUUGCUUCCCUAACACUUUCCUGAAGGAGCUUGGACGACUUGACUCAGGCAGGUUGAGAGACCAGAAAGCCAUCCAGAGAGAGCAGGGACCCAGCCAUCCACCACCUGGUUCUACUCCCACCCUAAGUCUUUCCUCUGAUGGAUUACUGAGUGCUUAUUUGAUCCAUGAUUGUCAAUCAUCCAUCCUUGCAACAUUUAACAAAAUACAGACCCACUCUGUUCUCAGAAAGCACCACACAGAGAUUCUGAAGCACUAAUCAGGAUGUAGAAAAACACUCCAGUCACCCUGCAUUGGAAACGGAGAAGUGCUUUCAGAGCCAUACUUCCUGCUGCGAGGUCAUUAGCAGUGCGUCCAUCCACAGCAAAGUGUUUUGCCACAGGAUGGAAAUUAUCUGGUUCCACCCCUGGAUAUGAUCAACCUUCAUAGACUGUGCAUUAUACAUGCCAUCUCUGCGACCUGCAAAGAUGAAAAGGGAAAGCAGGAGAUGGAAACUGGUCAGCAGCCUUCUGGUUUAUCAGCCACACUUACAAAGGUCAAAUGUGCAAAGCGUCAGAAGACAGUGGUUAGAGUGAGAUUCUACAUGCUCUCAAUGAAGAAUAAAGCAUGCAGGAAGAACCUUUCAAAAGGUUACAACCAGAGACCUGAAGGAAGCAAGGAAGAAAGCCACAUGGUUGUCAAAGAGAAGAGGAAAGGAGAUCACUAAGCUGGAUGACGUUUUCUGUUUCUUUGAAAACAGAGAAGAUGACAAGUUAGGGAGAGAUCAGAGGUCAUACUGUGAAGCACCUUUGGAUAAACGGCAGGGACUUUGGAUUUUCUUUUUGAAUAUAAGCAUAAUCCAUUGAAAGGUCUCAUGCAGGGAAGUGGCAAAACACUUUUAAAAUUUUUCAUCUUUUCUUUCUGAAGCAGAGUUCACUCUCCAUUUAUUUGUCUUCUUUGAUAUCUCUCAAUAGAAUGUUGCAGUUUUAGUAUUCUCCUAUUAAACAUUUGUUUAACUUUCUUGUUCUUCUAAAUAAUAAUUUAUUCUCCUUAUUUUCAUCAUUAGUGUCCCUGAAAUGCCAGAGUUUCAGACUAGGUCUACUACUCACCACACAAAAAGCCAAUCACUGAGACACAAGUAUUGACAAGUAAGAAGGCUUUAAUCAGGUGCUGCAGCCUAGUUGAUGAGAGAUUAGUCUCAAAUCCACCUCCCUGAUGGACUAAAAUCAGGGGAUUAUGUAGUAGAGAAGAAAUGUAACUACAUGUGAGGAAAUAGGAAUCAGGGAGGGAUAAGCAAGAGGAGUUGGUCAGAAAGACACGGGUGGUCAGUUAGGCCACCAUGAUGGGUGAG